AUAUAGCUCACUGAUCGAGUGAUUCUGCGCCGAAAAUGAUCGGGACUAAAGUGCAGAACCGAAACCGCGGAUACGACGUCUUCGGACGUCAUAUGGUAGGAAAGCGUAGUGUACUGGAGUGAAGCGAAAGUGCAAACGAUUGUGGACUGUACACUAGUGACCAUGCAGACAUGAGUAGCGAAAAGGCGGGUGUGAAUCCCGCCCACCGAAAGCCCGAGGUUUCCUGGGGAAGGUUCGUCCUCCCAUGGGUUAGUCGGAUCCUAAGGCGAGGCCGAAAGGCGUAGUCGAUGGACAACAGGUUAAUAUUCCUGUACCGCCGGAUGGGAAUCAUGGCAGGGACGCGGAAAGCUAAGUGAGGCGACGAUUUGAAAUGUCGCUCGAAGGCCGUAGGGGAAACCCGAGAACCGACAGGCUCCCAAGUGGCUUGCCACGAAGGAGUAUCGCUGAUGCUCGGCCGCCUAGAAAAGCUGUCCAUGGUAAUGAUCAUCUGUAGCGUCCGUACCGUAAACCGACACAGGUAGGCAAGGCGAGAAGCCUCAGGUGCGCGAGAGAAACCACGUUAAGGAACUCGGCAAAUUAGCCCCGUAACUUCGGGAGAAGGGGUGCCCCAUUAUGGUUGAAGGACUUGCUCCGGAGGCCAGAAGGGGUCACAGCAAAGAGGCCCAGGCGACUGUUUAACAAAAACACAGCACUCUGCUAACUCGAUAAGAGGAUGUAUAGGGUGUGACACGUGACCAAUGCCGAAAGGUCAAGGCAAGAGGUUAGUUCGCAAGAACGACGCUUUGAACCGAAGCCCCGGUGAAUGUCGGCCGUGACUAUAACGGUCCUAAGGUAGCGAAAUUCCUUGUCGGGUAAGUUCCGACCCGCACGAAUCGUGUAACGAUCUGGGCACUGUCUCAACGUGGAUCUCGGCGAAAUUGUAGUUCCGGUGAAAAUGCCGGAUACCCGCAGUAGGACGGAAAGACCCCGUGAACCUUUACUGUAAUCUGCCAUUGGCGUUCGAUUAUUGAUGUGUAGAAUAGGUGGGAGCCUGCGAAACGGUCUCGUCAGGGAUCGUGGAGGCAAAAAGUGAAAUACCACCCUUUGAGGAUUGAACGUCUAACCUGUUUCCAUGAAUCUGGAGCAGGGACCGUGGCAGAGGGUCAGUUUGACUGGGGCGGUUUCCUCCCAAAGUGUAACGGAGGAGUUCGAAGGUACCCUCAGCAUGGUUGGCAAUCAUGCUAAAGAGCGUAAGGGCAAAAGGGUGCUUUACUGUAAGACCGACGGGUCGAGCAGUUGCGAAAGCAGGACCUAGUGAUCCAGCGGUGGAAAGUGGCAUCGCCGUUGCUCAUCGGAUAAAAGGUACUCCGGGGAUAACAGGCUGAUCGCGCCCAAGCGUCCAUAGCGACGGCGCGGUUUGGCACCUCGAUGUCGGCUCAUCGCAUCCUGGGGCUG
rnacentral:rRNA from 1 species